GCGAGUGUAGUUUAAUGGUAGAACCUCAGCCUUCCAAGCUGACUACGAGGGUUCGAUUCCCUUCACUCGCUCCA
rnacentral:tRNA from 1 species